rnacentral:rRNA from 1 species
CAGCAGCCGCGGUAAUACGAAGGGGGCUAGCGUUGCUCGGAAUUACUGGGCGUAAAGGGAGCGUAGGCGGAUGUUUAAGUCAGAGGUGAAAGCCCAGGGCUCAACCUUGGAACUGCCUUUGAUACUGGACAUCUUGAGUGUGGGAGAGGUAAGCGGAACUCCGAGUGUAGAGGUGAAAUUCGUAGAUAUUCGGAAGAACACCAGUGGCGAAGGCGGCUUACUGGCCCAUUACUGACGCUGAGACUCGAAAGCGUGGGGAGCAAACAGGAUUAGAUACCCCCGUAGUCCCUGUCUCUUAUAA